rnacentral:rRNA from 1 species
AACGAUGGAUGCUAGGUGUGGGAGGUAUCGACCCCUUCCGUGCCGGAGUAAACGCAAUAAGCAUCCCGCCUGGGGAGUACGACCGCAAGGUUGAAACUCAAAGGAAUUGACGGGGGCCCGCACAAGCAGCGGAGCGUGUGGUUUAAUCCGAAGCAACGCGAAGAACCUUACCAAGGCUUGACAUCCCCCGCAAUCUCGGGAAACCGGGAGUUCCCUUCGGGGACGGGGAGACAGGUGGUGCACGGUUGUCGUCAGCUCGUGUCGUGAGAUGUUGGGUUAAGUCCCGCAACGAGCGCAACCCUUGUACUUAGUUGCCAGCAUAUAAGGUGGGCACUCUAGGUAGACUGCCGGUGACAAACCGGAGGAAGGUGGGGAUGACGUCAAAUCAUCAUGCCCCUUAUGUCUUGGGCUACACACGCGCUACAAUGGUCUGUACAAAGGGAAGCGAGGUCGCGAGACGGAGCGGAUCCCAUAAAACAGAUCUCAGUUCAGAUUACAGGCUGCAACUCGCCUGCAUGAAGUCGGAGUUGCUAGUAAUCGCGGAUCAGAACGCCGCGGUGAAUGCGUUCCCGGGCCUUGUACACACCGCCCGUCACACCACGAAAGUCUGCAACACCCGAAGUCGGUGAGCUAACCGCAAGGAGGCAGCCGCCGAAGGUGGGGCCGGUAAUUGGGGUGAAGUCGUAACAAGGUAACCGUA